CCUCUGCUGCAUUUCUUCGAGCCCUGGCCUCGCGCACCCUUUCUCUCCACGCGUUCUAACGGUGGCUCAACUGCAUCGGGCUGAACAGGGUGUGCAGCGCAAAGGCUGCUCUUCACGGGCAACCUCUCCUACCAGCUUCAUACGCGCCCCUCGCCCCCCGCCACUGCCCCCAGUGUUCCCCAUCUGGUCUGGAUCGCCUCGCGGUCCCGGCACAGAGCUCUCCUCGACCUUGCUUACCCAGGUUUACUGCAGUCCCGCGCCUUUUCGGUUGGACAUCACUGCUAGGAGGCGGUGUCUGAUUCAGCAGGCUCUGGGCUCCUCUCUGCGGUUCUUACCUUGAAUGUGUGCGGAACUCUGGUGUGGAGGUCUCAGGAGCCACUGCUGUCGCCUAGCGCUGCUGGGGUGUUCAGCUGAGUAUCUUGGAAUGGUAGAGUCCUCCUCCAGGCUGCAAAUGACUCCUUUCUGUUUGGGGUUUGAGCAGUGCAGUCCUGGACCCCUGAAAGGAAGCCUCUGUUCCAAACACCCAGAAGACACCUUGAGUAAGAAAGCCCAAGCAUCUUCUCGGAGCCCAUUUGCCGAAGGCAGUGACAUCGCCAGCUUAUACAGACCUCUUUGGAGGUUGCUGUGGGUUCAGCAUGGCUGUCCCGUCCAGUCUUAUCUGCGCUCUGCUACUGGAGAGGUAGGUGAAGGAAGAUGUUGAUGGAGGCCGUUCACCCAGGUCGCCAGCCUCACUAAAGUCAGAUAAGACACAGGGGGAAAAAGCUUCCAGACACUCUCUGUCAAUAAGGAACUUUCCAAACACAUCUGACAGCUGUAAGCUCUGUAACCCCAAAUUCCAGUAGUCCUGCUGCUGCCACUGCCACUAUUGUUGGGUGGAGGAGAGCUACCUCUGCCCCCUACGUUUCCUGUAUAGUCACUGCUGAAGACCUAGGCUUGGAGAAGAGAGGUGAGCACCAGUGGAGCCCCAAGGUGUUGGAGGAUAAAACUGAGGCCGCUUCAAACAGCAAGGCCACUCAGCCUGCCUGUUCUUUCUCCCUUUCUGCUGAGAAAAUUUCAGACUUCAUGACUGUGGCCACUUUCAUCAUGUGGAUCCUGGCUCCUGCCUCCUUAGCAGACACUGAUUUAGCUGACCUGUCUGCCAGACCCUCCAAUCCUGACUGCCCCUGUACUUAACCCCUCCAUGAGAUAUUGAUCAUGAAAUGAGAUGCCCAAAUUAUAAUUCUCCUUUCACCAUUCUUGCUGAAUCUCCUUCUCCCUUUAAGAUUAAUAAUAAUUGUUAGUCCAGGCUGCACCAUUUUGCAAGCCCCUGCCAUUUUACAGACCCUGGUCAGAGUGAAACAUUCCAUGGGGCCCUGCGCUGUGAGAAACAUCCUGCCUAGCCACCUGACUUCCUUAUCACAUCCUGCUGGGCAAAGGCCCAAGGAACAUCUUUAUCAACAUCCUCCUGGGCAGCAAGCCAUACGGCCCAGACCCCUCCUGCCCAGACCUGUAAUUACCCCAGCCUGUAAGCAGCAGUGAGCUCUGGCACCAAGCUGGUCCCCUCUCUGCAAAUUGUACUGGUAAUAAACCUGUGUUGCUGUAGAGCCACCAACUCUCUCUCUCUCCCCUUCCCUUCAAAACCUAACAAUCAUAAUGAUAGAAUAACACCAAGGCAAACCACCCAAUUAAAAGAACUGGACAAAACAUUUGAGCAAUAAUCCCUUUCCAAAAGUUGAUUCAGAAAUGUUCAAUAAGCCCACCAAAAAUGUUCAAUAUUAUUAAUCAUCAGGGAAGUUGCCAUCGCACAUCCACCAGAAUGCCUGUAGGGAUGUAAAGCACUUGGAACACUUCUCACUUGCAGUAAUAAUACAAAAUGGUAAAAUCACAUUGAGAAAAUGUCAUAAAACUUAUUAUAAAAGUAAACAUACACUUAUUCUUACUCAGCACUUCCAUCCUGAAUUAUUUCCUCGAGAGAAAUGAAAAAUGUGGAACACUUCUCAUUGUAAUGAUAAUAUGAAAUGGUACAAUCACAUUGAAAAAAUGUCAUAAAACUUAUUAUAAAACUAAACAUAUACUCAUUCUUACUCAGUGCUUCCAUUCUGAAUUAUUUCCUUGAGAGAAAUGAAAACAUGGAACAUUUCUCAUUGCAAUGAUAAUAUGAAC
ensembl:lncRNA